CUGGGAGGAAGAAGACAGACACAGAGAAAGUGUGUUAGCUUGCUUCCUCUCCAGCAAUAGCUGCUUCCUCUCCGGCAAAGCAUCUGGAAUCACUGUUGCCCUUCGAUCACACAUCAUUUCAUCAUUCUCCUCCACAGCUGUGAAGACUUAUUUAUAGUGUCCUAGGUCUUGAAGAUGGCAACAGUCAUCCUCAAUUUAAAUUCAUUAUGCAUUUCUCCAUGUAUUUAAUAUCUUUUCUGAUGUGUAAGCAACCUUUCGGAUUCCAAGACAUUUAUAUCUUAAAUAUGUUAAAUGAA